CUGUGCCCAAGAUAGACAACUUUGCAGAAGGACAGGAAUAGAGAGAGGACAUCCAGUUUCUGGGUCUUAUUACCACUCUGGCCAGGAUCCUAACUUCCAGCCAAAAGGACUGUAGUGACCUGACCCAUGGCCCUGACAGGAUAGAUGCCUAAACCACGGAACAGAAUGGAGAGCUCAGAAGCAAACCUCUGUGUGAAAGGUCGACUGAUAUUGACAAAGGACCCAAGAACACUUACCAGGAAAAGGACGGCUUCUUCACAAAUGGUGCUGGGAAAACCGGACAGCCACGUGUGGAGAUUUCCUGCCGCUGCAGUCAGAAAAGACAGUUGGUACAGCUCAAAUCUUAAACCUGCUGAGACCUGUGUCUUAUCUGAUACGGGGGGUCUGUCCCAGAGAAUGUGUGAGAAGGAUGCGUGCUGUGCCGCUGUGGGACGGACGUUCUGUGCGUGUGGGUCAGGUCCAUGUGAUCUGAAGUAUGGUUCAAGUCCAGUGCCAUGACGAUUGUGGGAACGACAACAAAGGACCAGGCUGUCGCGUGGACUUAGCGGAUGGAGCUGCAGUGGGGUCUGAGCAACUUUGAAAGAAGUUCUGUGGGUGAAGCGCUAUCACAUGGUGCCACACACCAAAGAGAAAACUUUCAUGAAAGGAGGAGUCCAUCGAUGCACCGAUGUCCUUGUUGUCUUAUUCUAAGUGGUGGCCGUGGCCUCUGAGCCUUCAGUGCCACCACCCCGAUCAGUCAGCAGCCACUGACAUCAGGCAGAUCCCCCAGCCCCCAGCAAAACGAUGAUGAUGCACUGGAAGUUCAGAGGAUGGUUAGCACGUUUUAGCAAUAAAGUGUUUUUUUU